rnacentral:lncRNA from 1 species
AGGAAGAGGCUUGCGAAAAAGUCAACACCCCUAGGUCCUCCCGCUGAGCAACCAUUUCGCCGCUCUCUUCUAAGCAAGACCGGCAGAUAUACAGGCCACGAGCUUAAGGAAGAGGCUUGCGAAAAAGUCAACACCCCUAGGUCCUCCCGCUGAGCAACCAUUUCGCCGCUCUCUUCUAAGCAAGACCGGCAGAUAUACAGGCCACGAGCUUAAGGAAGAGGCUUGCGAAAAAGUCAACACCCCUAGGUCCUCCCGCUGAGCAACCAUUUCGCCGCUCUCUUCUAAGCAAGACCGGCAGAUAUACAGGCCACGAGCUUAAGGAAGACGCUUGUGAGAAAGUCAACACCCCUAGGUCCUCCCGCCGAGUAACCAUUUCGCCGCUCUCUUCUAAGCAAGACCGGCAGAUAUACAGGCCACGAGCUUAAGGAAGACGCUUGCGAGAAAGUCAACACCCCUAGGUCCUCCCGCUGAGCAACCAUUUCGUCGCUCUCUUCUAAGCAAGACCGGCAGAUAUACAGGCCACGAGAACAAGAAAAAGAACUUCGUGGGACACGCGGUCGAAGCCUUUCACCAGGUCGAUCUGCAACAAAACAACGCGUCUAGCGAAAGCGUCGACACACUCUAGAACGCUUCCUGCACAUGGGUGUUUGUAGCAAUGGUGCGGCCCUUUAUGCCGCAAGUUUGAUGCAGACUGGCAUGAUUACAGUAAUGACAGACGUUUCUUUGCGACCACGUUCAAGAUUAUCUUGUAAUCAGUAUUUGUAAGGCUAAUUGGCCUGUAAGAACCAACCGAUAAAAGCGCCUUUUAAUCCUGUUUUUGGUAUUAAAACAAUGUGUGCAUUUCUGAAAGAAGGUGGCACUCGUUUCUUUUCACGU